GACGAACGCUGGCGGCGUGCUUAACACAUGCAAGUCGAACGGAAAGGCCCUGCUUUUGUGGGGUGCUCGAGUGGCGAACGGGUGAGUAACACGUGAGUAACCUGCCCUUGACUUUGGGAUAACUUCAGGAAACUGGGGCUAAUACCGGAUAGGAGCUCCUGCUGCAUGGUGGGGGUUGGAAAGUUUCGGCGGUUGGGGAUGGACUCGCGGCUUAUCAGCUUGUUGGUGGGGUAGUGGCUUACCAAGGCUUUGACGGGUAGCCGGCCUGGGAGGGUGACCGGCCACAUUGGGACUGAGAUACGGCACAGACUCCUACGGGAGGAAGCAGUGGGGAAUAUUGCACAAUGGGCGGAAGACUGAUGCAGCAACGCCGCGUGCGGGAUGACGGCCUUCGGGUUGUAAACCGCUUUCGCCUGUGACGAAGCGUGAGUGACGGUAAUGGGUAAAGAAGCACCGGCUAACUACGUG
rnacentral:rRNA from 1 species